CUUCCCAGGAUUUAAGUUGUAAAUGAAGUCUUUUUGACCAAUUAGGCCCUUUUAUUUGGGAUGCUAAGUUAUUGGGAAAAGCACUGUCGUACAAUGGUAAACCUUAGAUUGUAUUGCACAGGUAAGUGCUGUAACUGCCCAAAUAUAUAUGCAUUUCCUAAUGUUUUAAUGUUUUGGCAUACAGUCAUCACUUAAUAUUCUGAUUACUUGAAUUGUUAUGUGUCACAGAAACAACUGAAUUUCUUUGUCAAUUGCAUCAUAGUGAACUCUCAUCAGAUCUUUAACAAUGUCUAUUUCUGAGAUUUUUGUCAUUUAUAAUUGUUCUUAUUCUCUCACAAAAUGUGUUUCUUCUUCAAGGAGAUUUAUAAAAAGGACUUUGGGGACAAAUACAGGUAUUUGACAUCUUUAAGAUUAAUAUUAAAAUGGGUAAGAAUUUCCAGAACUAAAAAGCUGCAUUCAAAAUGAACAAGAAUUAGGAACAUGGGAUUAAAUGAACUCAGGAAGAUUAUAGUUUUGUGAUUCUUGUUGGAAAUAUUGUUGGUUCUCUAAUGUUUGCUCUUCCAGAUUAAGGACACUUUCUCUCAAGAUAUCUAUGAUAUACAGAAAUGUCAUAUUCAUUUGCAAACUGAAACAUUUAUCUUUUCUCUCUACAUAACUCCCCUGAAAUUCAAAAACUCUCAGUGAGUAUUCUUUCUUUCAUGGCAAUUACAGUUUGCAUAAGUUCAGUAAGAAUCUGUUCAUCUUGUAACAGGUCACCAUUGGAAAUACUGGUUAUUUUACCAAGGCUUUGACUGGAAUGUCAUAUUUGAGAGUGACAUUCAUAGACUCAGAUAUGACCAGAGAGCUUUAAGGAACUAAGGUUGGCUUUAUGAAACAUGGAGCCAUAAAGUCCCUUGGAAAUGUUGGCCUGAUACCUUGCUUACAGAGUUCCCAGCAGCCUCACCAGCUGAGUAAAGAAGGUCACUUCCUGGCAGGUGCAGGACCCUCAGGAUAUCUUGGGGACGUCAUGAAGAGGAAUUAGACCUAUUCUACAGAGACCUCUUCCGGGUUCUUCUUGCCCUGUUUGCCACGUACAUGAAACCCCACCACAGAUAUGGAAGCUGAAAACUAUAAAUUACCCUCACCCCCCUUCAUUCGGGGCUCAGAUCUUUGGAGAAGUGGUCUCCUCUGAACCCGCCGGCGUUAAAUAAAUCUCCGAUUCACCAAGA